rnacentral:rRNA from 1 species
GAUGAACGCUGGCGGCGUGCCUAAUACAUGCAAGUCGAGCGAACGGACGAGAAGCUUGCUUCUCUGAUGUUAGAGGCGGAAGGGAGAGUAACACGAGGAUAACCUACCUAUAAGACUGGGAUAACUUCGUGAAACCGUAGCUAAUAACGGAUAAUAUUUUGAACCGCAUGGUUCAAAAGUGAAAGACGGUCUUGCUGUCACUUAUAGAUGGAUCCGCGCUGCAUGAGCUAGUUGGUAAGGUAACGGCUUACCAAGGCAACGAGGCAUAGCCGACCUGAGAGGGGGAUCGGCCACACUGGAACUGAGACACGGUCCAGACGCCUACGGGAGGCAGCAGUAGGGAAUCUUCCGCAAUGGGCGAAAGCCUGACGGAGCAACGCCGCGUGAGUGAUGAAGGUCUUCGGAUCGUAAAACUCUGUUAUUAGGGAAGAACAUAUGUGUAAGUAACUGUGCACAUCUUGACGGUACCUAAUCAGAAAGCCACGGCUAACUACGUG